rnacentral:rRNA from 1 species
CCCUUAGAUGUUCUGGGCCGCACGCGAGCUACACUGAUGCAUUCAACGAGCCUAGCCUUGACCGAGAGGUCCGGGUAAUCUUUGAAACUGCAUCGUGAUGGGGCUAGAUUAUUGCAAUUAUUAAUCUUCAACGAGGAAUGCCUAGUAAGCGUGAUUCAUCAAAUCGCGUUGAUUACGUCCCUGCCCUUUGUACACACCGCCCGUCGCUCCUACCGAUUGAGUGUGUUGGUGAGGAGUUCGGAUUGGCUCUUAGUGGUGGUUCGCCACCACCUAGAGCUGAGAAGUUCUCCAAACCGCCCCACUUAGAGGAAGGAGAAGUCGUAACA